CUUCAGUGUAAACAAAGAUGGCAGAUUUCGAUGCCAUCAACACAAUCGAGAGAGAUGACGAAGACAAUUCCUCCUCAUCCCUGGAGUCCUACACGCAGACGCCCGAGCCAGUCAUCAUUAGAGGCGCGGGCAACAUCACAGUGUUUGGACUUAGUAAUCGUUUCUGCCGCGACUUCCCGAGUGCUCUGACAGGAAGGUUGGCCCCAGAGGAGUUUGCCGGGUCAGUGGGGCGGGUCAACACUGUGCUGCGGAAGACCCUGCCUGUGUCUGCCCGCUGGCUCCUCUGUGGCUGCUGCUUCUGCCUCUGUACCUGCGGCUGUUCCCUCUGGCCCGUCAUCUGCCUCAGUAAACGGACGAGAAAUGCAAUAGAGAAGACUUUAGAGGCGGAAAACACCAACCUAUACCACAAGCUUGGCCUUCACUGGAGACUCACUAGACAGAGAUGUGAUAAUUCCUCCCUCAUGGAAUAUGUGUUGGUGAUUGAAGUGAUACCCAAAAAAGACAUUCUACGGCCGGACUGACGGAGCGGGGCGGCCUUGUACCCCAGGCUGCUGCUCACUGACGCCGGGACCCCCACCCACCCCCUCCCCCUCUCGGCUGUCUAGUCCUGUGAUCAGCUGUGAGUCAUGUUCUGUAAGGCCAUGAGCUGAUCAGGAUGUCAGACUGAAGGAAGUGAAAGCACUGAUGGUGAGUGUUGCUGUGCUUCCACCCAUGACUAGCCUGGCCCUCAGUGACAGCCGAGGACACGACCGCUUCGCCGACGCACUGUUCUCGCUGCCCUGGUCUGGUGCAACUGUGUGUAGUGUGCCAAGCUGAUUCAGUCACAAGAUUUGCUUACAUUGUACACUUAGGGUCGGAGGCGGAGCAGCAGAUGGCGCUCACUGUCACUGUGUUGAGUGCUGUCCUGCGUCCCGAGGCCCUGGGCUGGCAGGUGUAUGUGGUGAGGCGCUGUGAGGGUGCGGGUGUGUGGGUGUGGCAGGUCUGGGGCUAAGGGAAGCAUGCAGGACACAGUGGAGUGAAUGCCUUGCUGUGGUGACUUCUGGCCCUGACUGUACCUUUGAAAUGCAUGUCAAGUUCACAAAUAAGAUAUAUAUACCUAUAUGCAUAUAUAGAUAUAUGUGUUUGUGUAUAAUAUGUAUACAUGUAUACAUGCAUCUAUGCCUGUGUACAUAUUACACACACAACAGUCUGUACUAUGGGUUCUAUAUCCUAGUCAUCCCAAGUGCUAUUGAAUAAUAUUGCCUUUAGACAUUUUUUUACUCUAGUUUAUGCUUAAGUGCUGUGUUCACUGAGCACUGGAUAUCACCUUUCUUUGUGCACCUCCACCACUGUACCGUAAGACUGCCGUGUCUCAAGCACCGCCGGGCACAAGAGGCUCCCAGGACGAGGGGGACCACCGCUGGCACAAAGACAAAGACGGCAGGAGUGUGUGUGUCUUAGUGGAGCCCCGCCCAGCCCACCCCAGCCCUGUCAUGACUGUGUGGUGAUGCUGGUGCCAUACCUGGGCCUCCACAGCACUCAGUCAACCCCAGGAGUGUGUCUGUCCUGAGGGAGCCAAUGUUACUCAUGAUAUUUCUAAAUUUUAGGGACGGUAUUCACCCCAGAGGCUCUUUUUGCUUCUCUUCUUAUCAACACAACUCCUGGUUUUAUGUAUAGUCUUGUUUUUUGUCUCCUGUUUAUAGGCAUAGUUUGUGUGUCUUGUUUUUGUUGUAGCAGUGAUGGUUGGGGUGGUGAAGGUGUGUGGUGAGACAGUUACUAGUGCUCUGGAGGGAAAGAUGUGCAGUAAGUCAUAGGAAGAGGGAUGUGCAGUGUGCCAUGUCAGAAACGUGUGCACUUCAUAGAAAGAUGUGCACUCUGUCAUGUCAAAGGAAGAUUUGCACUGUGUCAUGUCAUAGGAAGACGUGCAGUGUGUCAUAUCAUAGGAAUGGAGAUGUGCAGUGUGUCAUGUUAGAGAAAGAUGUGCACUGGGUCAUGUCAGAAACGUUCACAAUUUGAGGUAGACAUGAAGACAAGGAUGCAAAUUGUAGGACCAUGUGACUUGUGGGAGAUACACUCUUAGGAAGAAAAAUAUAUUGAGGAAAAUAGAACUGGAAAAAAAAAACUACAUUACGAAAAUCAUUAGAACUCAGUGUAAGAACAAAAAAAGUGCAAUUUGAGUAGUAAUCUAGCAAUGUACAUAAGAGAAGAUACAAUUAGGGAGACAAUUCGACACAUAGAUACAAAGAUACGUAAUAGAUAUGGGAAAAAAAAAACGCAAACUUAGCAAAUCUAGUCACACAAUUGGAGACAUAAUGAAAGUAAAGUUGCCUCAAGGUCACAAGAAGAGGAGGAGGAAGGCAAUUGUGCCUGUACCAUCACUGUUUUGUACCAUCACUAUUGUACCAUUUGUUUUGUACCAUUUUAUCUUUUAUUUUUCUAGGUAUAAAUGACAGCUAUUUCUCGUUUAUAUUGUUAUUUUUUAUUAUUUCAGCGUUUUUUUUAUCGGUGUGUUAGUUUACAUAGUGACUUAGUGAGCUUGUUAUGUAUAAUAUGUGUACUGUUUGUGUUUUUCAUUUAAAGCAUUUACGAGACUGAUACUAGACACUCUCUCUCUCUCUCUCUCUCUCUCUCUCUCUCUCUCUCUCUCUCUCUCUCUCUCUCUCUCUCUCUCUCUCUCUCUCUCUCUCUCUCUCUCUCUCUUAGUUCAUUGAUUUGUUUAGGAAAGAACCCAAUAUUUUUAUACACACAAGUUUUAGCGCGUUAAGUAAAGCAUUUACUCGUUACAUUGAUGCUCUUUUGUCUUUCUCUGGAGGUUUUACUGUUAAUCCUAAGAAUCAGUGCAAAUUAUAGGCAUUUCUUACAUAAAAAAACACCCGUAGAAGGUUGCCUAAUUUACAAGAGAUGUACAAUUAUAUAUAUUAGAGACUUAAAAAUAUAUAUAUAUAAAAAAAGAAAGUGUGAUUGUAUAGAGAUUAAAGAAAUCACUUAUUAACCUGUAAAGAUAAAAAAAAUCUGUUGUAGCAUUUAUUUUUCUAAUUGGCCGCAGUGUUAAUUGGAGAGAGAGAGAGAGAGAGAGAAUAAUAAUAAUGGUAAUAUAAUACAACUAAACGAGACAUCCGUGAAUCAAGGUAUAUCUGUACAUAUAUAUUAUAAUGACUAGAGGAUGUUGCUUUGUCAUUUUUGUAUUAUAACAGGGAAGUAUGUGAACCACAGUAGCCAUUGAAUAAAAAUAAAUAAAUAA